rnacentral:lncRNA from 12 species
CCCCCCCCCCCCCCCCCCCCCCCCCCCCCCCCCCCCCCCAUUCCUGCUGAACCGCUCUUCCGAUCUGGCCGGGGAAGGCCGGCUGGUGCGUGGCUCGUACAUAAGGACAGCCGGAGCCGCGCUUGCGGGCAGCCCUGCGCUCCGAGCGGGCAGUGAGUGAUGGGGCACUGCAUCAGCUCCACCGUCCAAACUCUGUGGGAAAUGAGAACCGCCUCUCGUGGAGAGGUAUGGGGAGCGGUCUCUUAUGGAGAUCUGUUAUAACAACUAUUUUACCUGUAGAAAUGACCCUGUGUGAUCAGUUUGUGUUGUGCUGCCACAUGAGAGGCGUGUCUCCAGCUGAAGGGGUUCCUGUGGUGUGGACAGGAUGCAGAGUGCAGCUUUCCCUCCUGAGAACUACAGACACCUCUCCUAGCAAGACUGUUGAGGACAUGAGGAGCUGAAGUGAAGGACAUGGAUUUUUUAAAAUUGCUUUGGGUUUUGUUCUGCUCCAAUCUGCAAAACAUAAUGUGUCCAUGUGGCAACACAUGACACAGAAUUGCCAAGCACAGCUCGUGUAUAAACACGUGGAAUGGGCAGUGUGUUUGCAGGCUGCACAAGUGCUCUGCUCCAGCUGAACCUGGCCAGUGCUCAGAGCCCAGCACCACAGACUGCAGCACGUGCUAAUGAUCUGGGCUCUGUGAUGCCUUAGGAUUUUAGCUUUUAUGUUUUUCAUCUAUUUGUAAUCCUGCAAUUCUUUAGUGUAGAACUCUAAACUCCAUACACAGUGUGAGCUGCUGCUUUCCCAUUUUGGUCAGACAAAGCAAUUCCUCUCCAGGCCUGGGAAUCAAGGACACCUCACUGUCUCAAACCCUGAGAGAUGGAAGUGAAAGUGAGUUGGGGGGGAGCAAACUUAAGGUAAAUGACUUCAUUACCUGAAGCUGUAAUUGGAAGAUUAACCCAAAUAUGCAAAUGGACCAAACUUAUAAAAGUGUGAAAACCUGUGACCUGUCAUCCAUUUUUGGGUGUAGCCCCUGGGGGGCUUUGUCUGCCUGAAAUGUACCUGAAGGCCCUUCAAUAAAUACAACCACUUUUUUAUUCCCUGAAUUUUGUCUGGCCUCUGUUUUUAGGCAGCCCCAACAAG